AUGAAACGCUGGGGAGCUCUUCUUGUGCUCUUCUGGGUCCAAUUUUGCUUGUUGAGAGGGAUGAAGGUGGAGCAGAGUCCCUCAUUUCUGAGUCUCCAGGAGGGAACCAGUUCUACACUGAGAUGCAACUUUUCGUCCACAGCAAAUAAUGUUCAGUGGUUCUUACAGAAUCUCCAGGGAAGCCUCAUCAACCUAUUUUACAUCACUUCAGGGACAAAGGAGAGUGGAAGAUUAAGUGUCACAAUGGAAUUUAAGGAACGGUAUAGCACCCUGAGCAUCACAGCCGUCCAACUGCAGGACUCAGCCACCUACUUCUGUGCAGUGCAGCACAGUGUUCCUAAGUCAGCUGCAGCCUGA